ensembl:lncRNA
CCAACAUGUAAAACCUCUCUACCUUGAGCCAAAGCAGUUUUUUUUGGUGAUGCUUGUUGUUGCUUUCUUUGUUGUGUAGGUGACAUUGGGAAGUGCUUGGAAGCUCAAGUUGCCGAUUUGAACAGAAGUGACAGUCCAGAGAAUACCACCUUACACGCUUCACUGGAGAGAGAGAGGGAGCAGACAUCGAGGAGAGGAAGUACCAGGUUCCAGGAGACAGUAUCAAGAGUCAGUAUCCUCUUCCAUGCUUGAAAUCAGUCACCACAGCUGUGUCUAGGACACUGUUACACCUGUUGACCGGCGAAUGAACUCGACCAAGUGUUGCCAUCAUUGCCAUAGUGACCACCCAGCGCUGCCCCUGGCGUGCAGAAUUUCACCACAGAAACUUGACUUACCAGGAAACAGACAGAAAAGCGGACAUCGAAGAUCUAUAUUUGUUCAGGAAGUGGUAACGGCUGCUUUGCUUGCAUCUUUUUAAAUGGUAUGGACGGUGGCAGGAUGCUGAGUGUUUGUUUAACUGUGUGAUCAGUCACAUUUUACAAAGUAUGUGAUUGUAAUCUCCAACUGUGAGGAGACUCAUCUGAAUUUGCUCGGUUAGCUAUGAUAUAUAAUAAAAGCAAUCCAAAAGAGGACAUUUUUCUCCCUCCAACAUGAAUCGUAAUAUUGAUCUGCAUGCUUGUUAGUGGUGAGCUGAAGGGUUUCAAUGACAAUCAUUUGGUCCAUCUGUCUGUCCUCCCAUCUGUGCAAAAACCAAAAGACUACCAGGCAGACGGCCAUGUAAUACAGUACACACCGUGUUUAUUGUUUCCAAAGGAUUAUUCUCAAUGAUUUUGUUGACCUGCUGACCUUUCAUCUGUCCUGAUCAGUUCUUUGGUAGAUGGUCAGCUAUCUCAGAAACAUAAGACUCAGUAAUCAACACUUUUACAGUGGAUAGUCAUUGAUCC